CGCUGCAGGACAGGGAUGCUCCGUAAAAGAGAGGGGGGGCUGCUCCAUCCUCGGGGUCUCUGUAGAUGCUGAAAGCAACAAUUGCAGCUCUGAAGACGAACUCACUGGGCUUCAGGAAACGACACUCUGCAAGAGAAGGGGAUGAGCGUGGGGUUUAAAGACAAACUCAGAAAUUGUCCUCUGUCCCCCUGAGUCCGUUCCGCACCAGCUGGUCAGUACAGCUCACGGUGGCUUGGAAAGUUUGAGAGAGAAACUUCUACAAGAAGGGUUCUGACAACAAAAUGGGGGACAUUCAGCGAAACAGUAAGGAUGUUGGGUUGGCCUUGGGCAUGAGAGAGCGUCUGCUUGUCUGUUGAAAUGCUGUCUAGUGGCAGCCUGCCUUUGGAGCAGGAUUGGUUCCACUGGAAAAAGAGCUUGUCAUAAAGGCUAAA